rnacentral:lncRNA from 1 species
AAACAAAAAAUUAAUAUUAUUAUAAUAUUUUACCGUAUUAGUAACAAUAAAAUAUUAUGUAAAUGUAAAAAUUGGUUAUAAGAAUAUCUUUUCUCAAUUAAAAAAGCAAACAUUUAAAUUUAAAUGAAUAACCGGAGAAACAAUAAAUACUAAUCAAGGUCACAACUCUAUUCAGAUCGGAACUGAUGAGCACUUUGUAUGAGCUUGUUUUUUUCACGUAAAGACGAAUAA